GACGAACGCUGGCGGCGUGCCUAAUACAUGCCAGUAGAACGCACAGUUUAUACCGUAGCUUGCUACACCAUAGACUGUGAGUUGCGAACGGGUGAGUAACGCGUAGGUAACCUGCCUGGUAGCGGGGGAUAACUAUUGGAAACGAUAGCUAAUACCGCAUAAUAUUAAUUAUUGCAUGAUAAUUAGUUGAAAGGUGCAAUUGCACCACUACCAGAUGGACCUGCGUUGUAUUAGCUAGUAGGUGAGGUAACGGCUCACCUAGGCGACGAUACAUAGCCGACCUGAGAGGGUGAUCGGCCACACUGGGACUGAGACACGGCCCAGACUCCUACGGGAGGCAGCAGUAGGGAAUCUUCGGCAAUGGACGAAAGUCUGACCGAGCAACGCCGCGUGAGUGAAGAAGGGUUUCGGAUCGUAAAGCUCUGUUGUAAGAGAAGAACGGGUGUGAGAGUGGAAAGUUCACACUGUGACGGUAUCUUACCAGAAAGGGACGGCUAACUACGUG
rnacentral:rRNA from 1 species